rnacentral:rRNA from 1 species
GUAGCAAGCUAAGUGGGCUUGAUUGUGGGAAAAACUCCAUAGUUAAGCAUGCUUGAGCCAGAAGAGUCUUAGGAUGGGUGACCACCCGGAAAGUCUUGGUUACUGGGUGCA